UACGUAGGGUCCAAGCGUUAUCCGGAAUCACUGGGCGUAAAGCGUUUGUAGGCGGAAAUCUAAGUGAGAUGCGAAAUCUGGUGGCUCAACCACCUAGACGGUAUCUCAUACUGGGUUUCUAGAAUAUAGCAGAGGCAAGUGGAAUUAGUAGUGUAGCGGUAAAAUGCGUAGAUAUUACUAGGAACACCAAUGGCGAAGGCAGCUUGCUGGGCUAUUAUUGACGCUGAGAAACGAAAAGCGUGGGGAGCGAACAGG
rnacentral:rRNA from 1 species